rnacentral:lncRNA from 1 species
GCCAAACCCAGACUAUGUAAGUCAAGGAUAUCCAAAAUGUACAGAAGCUAGAAAUUAUAAAUCUGCAAAGAAAUGGAACUAAAUCAGUUGGAAUUGUCCAGUCCAUAAAUCUGGGAAAGAUAUAUCAACAUCAGGAUCAGCAAUCUAACAGAGGAAAAGAUGAGGUUCAAUUUUACCGUCAGCAUCUGGAACUUGGCUUAAAUAUAUGUCAAGAAGCAUUUCGUCAUGAUACAGUAGAAUAAUCAUCAUUUGAAGUAAAAAACAAAACAAAACUGGCUACCAAUACAAACUCCAAUAUUCAACAGCUGUGUUACCCUGAUAAAAUUAUUGAGACUCAAUUUCUUUAUUUGUAAAAGGUCUAAUAAUUUUACACUAUUUAAAUCACAAGUUUCUUAUAAUAAAGCCCCUAAAGAAUUUUUAAAAUCA